ACUCUAGUGGCCCAGACGGUAAAGCGUCUGUCUGCUACUCAGAAGACCCAGGUUCGAUCCCUGGGUUGGGAA
rnacentral:tRNA from 1 species